rnacentral:lncRNA from 1 species
AUGAGGACUGCGAUCAUCGCUUGUUAUUGUUCAGGGUUCAAAGUAGUCGUUCCCUGUUUACGCAUAGAGUUCUUCUUUGAGUCUCCGGCUGUUGAUGUCCAGUGAUUAAAAGAGUUCUGUUUCUCCAGCAACUAGUGUGGUUCAGUGUUAUUUAUUGUUUCUAUUUUCUUUGGUUUGUAUUGUUUCUAUUUUCUUUGGUUUGUAUUCUGUGAUCUUCUGUGAAAGAUCGUCUUGUGUUUCUCUCUGAUUGUGAGAGAUUUUUCUGCUGUUGAUUGAUGAUCAUCUGUCGAUGAUCAUCUAGGUAUUGUAUAUUACUUUGACUGAAUUUCUGAUCUCACAUGAUGUGAGAUCUAGGGUUUGGGGGGUGUUUUUGGUUUGGGUUAAUAAGAUUUUGAUCAUUCUUUUGUCGCUAUUCUCUUUGUUCUGUGUUAGAUCUGUCAUUCUUUACAAUACGCCGUAUUAAUUAAAGAAAAAGUGGUUUUUUCAAAUAGGCUCCACCACCAAGUUUAUAAAAAGGGUAUGUUUAGCUAUACCUUUCGAAAAACAACGACAAUAAUAUGAGACGACAUGAGAUAGUAUUUUCGAGAGAAAAAAUGCAAACAUUUUAGGUCUUUGUUAAACUUACAAGCCUCAAAUAUCGUUUCUCGGAUCUAAAUGAUGAACGCCCUGCAAAUACGGUUUCGUCGAAGGGUUCUAUGCAAGACGUUUAUAUAGAGUUCCUUUUUCUACAACUUGUUUUUUAGAUAUAUUUUAUUCAAUAAUUAAUAUAUAGUUCCACAACAUGUUUAUAUAUUUUAUUCAAUAAUUAAUAUAUAGAGUUUCUUUUACGAAUUAAAAAAGGUAGACGACAUGUUUGUAAUAGAAAGAGUAAAUUACUGUUUUGGCCUUUGUAGUUUAGUCAGUUUAACUAUUUCAGUCUCAAAAGAAAUCUUUUAACAUAUCAGACUCUGAGAUUGCAUUUUAUAACGGUUUUGACUCCUGACACUAACUUUGUUACUUUUUUUGCAGUUAAGUGUAAAGAUAGUUAGGUCAUUAUAUAUCUUAGGAGGUUGUUUUUUUUUACAAUUACAAAGUUCUUUUAAUAUUUAAGAGAUUAUUGAUGCAAUUAUUUAAGUUUUUUUUAUUAUUUUGUUAUUUUCACGAUUAUUAUAACGAAAUACGUUUGAAAUAUACAAAUAACUAUGUAUUUUCAUUAACCAUUUAUUUUUAUAAAAGUCGUUCUAAAAAAUAAUUUUUUAUUUUACAUUUUUUUAAACCCUCUAUCAUUUUUUAACUGUUACGUUUUAAACCAUUUACUUUUCUAAAAUUAUUCUUUUUAAAGUCGUUUAUCUUUCAAAGUUUUUUUAACACUUUAUACCAUUUUUUUAAUAUCAUUUACUUUUAAACAUUUCUAAACUACUUACUUUUUAAGUCACUCAUUUUUUUUAAAUUUUACAAAACGGCGUGCAUAAAAAACAAAAGAAAUGUAAGAUUUGAAAAAAAAAACAUUCUAAUAAAAAGUUUGCACAAGAUCGUUCUUUUUUCAAAAAAAUUUUAGAAUGGUUUAUUUGUUUUUCAAACCUUUCAUUUCUUUGGACCAUUUGUUUAUUUAAAAUUCGUUAUUUUUUUAACCUUUUCUUUAUUAAAUUCGUGUGUUUUUAGUUCCUUACACUUAUUAACUUAUUCUUUUAAGGUUUUACUUUUUUUUAUAAACAUCAUUUUUUAGUCUUCGUUUUUUAAACCACUCGUUCGUUUAAAAUGAUCGUUUUU